CAAUAGCGUAUAUUAAAGUUGUUGCAGUUAAAAAGCUCGUAGUUGGAUUUGUGGCGUAUGGUGUGUUCCGGGCACUUGUUGUCUGAGUAACUUGCCAUUGCCAUCCUUGGGUGGAACCUGUGUGGCAUUAGGUUGUCGUGCAGGGGAUGCCCAUCGUUUACUGUGAAAAAAUUAGAGUGUUCAAGGCAGGCUUAUGCCGUUGAAUAUAUUAGCAUGGAAUAAUAAGAUAGGACUUUUUUGCUAUUUUGUUGGUUUGCGCGAGAAGGUAAUGAUUAAUAGGGAUAGUUGGGGGUAUUCGUAUUCCAUUGUCAGAGGUGAAAUUCUUGGAUUUUUGGAAGACGAACUACUGCGAANGNAUUUACNAAGGAUGUUUNCAUUA
rnacentral:rRNA from 1 species